UAGAAAAAGAAUCUUUUUCUAAUCUGAAAGCACUAAAAGUCUUAUGGCUUUCUACAAACCGCUUAACUUCGCUUGACACUAACUUGUUUAUGGGGCUUACCGAGUUGAAAGAAUUGUGGUUGCAAAAUAAUCUUUUAACUACUAUUGAAAAUCUUUUUAAAAAUCUCCAAAAACUUCAUCACUUGU